rnacentral:rRNA from 1 species
UACGUAGGGUCCGAGCGUUGUCCGGAGUUACUGGGCGUAAAGCGCGCGCAGGCGGCGGUGCUGGCCCGGCGUGAAAGCCCCCGGCUCAACUGGGGAGGGUCACUCGAUACUGAUCGACUUGAAGGCAGGAGAGGGAAGCGGAAUUCCCGGUGUAGUGGUGAAAUGCGUAGAUAUCGGGAGGAACACCAGUGGCGAAGGCGGCUUCCUGGCCUGUUCUUGACGCUGAGGCGCGAAAGCUAGGGGAGCAAACGGG